GGCACUAUAGUGUAGUGGCUAUCACUUGGGAUUCUUAUUAGCAGGUUCGAUCCCUGGUAGUGCCU